CCUCACACUCACAGCGAUCCUCCUGCCUCAGCCUCCCGAGUAGCUAGAACUCCAGGCAUGAACCAUCUCACCCGGCUGGUUUCACCAGUUAAUCCCAGACAACAGGGUUUCUUCAUGAAGGAAAAGGAAGUUAAUAUUAACCUCCUACAGUUUUUAGUAGCUUAUUUCUGCCUUCAUUCCUGACUGAGCAUUCUUACCUGGAGCCCUGGGGGACAGAUACAAAUAAAAAGGGGAAAUCUUCCAGAUUUCCAGUUUUGCAAGGAUCGACACUAGAAAUCGACUGAAAGUUAUUUUUAAUUCACUCACAAGCACUUACCCCAGAUAUGUUUUGAUUCUGUAAACUGAAAGUGAACUUGCACCAAAAUAAAAUCAGCAGAGAAACGCA